AGUAUGUUGUGUUUUAUGAAAAUAACAUUGACAUGAAUUUUAUGGCCAUUUUCUAUCACUUAUGCAAUUUGCCUCAAAGAUCUUUUGCUUUGCACUAGCUUGGUAACUUCACAUUUUAAGUUCAUUGUCAAAAGUACAGCAUAUGGUCAUAACAAACUCUGUGUGGCAGAAAAGAUAAACCACUUCAAUAAGUUUCAAAGUAAACAAUCUCACCUCCACUUUCCUGUUUAUUCCUGUUCUUUAGCCCUUAUUUCACACAGGAUCAUAGCCGGUAACAGAGUUAGGGUCAGCCAUGCUAAUUAUCGCAUCAGUCCAACAAAUAUUUGCAACAUGCGCACAUGGAGAGAUCAUACAUGAGCAGCACAACUACAGAUGCUGGCGAGUUUGCACACGACCCUGAGGCAGCUUGAGAAAAAAAUAAUAAUUUCAAAGACAAGGAGGAAUAGGGGGAGUGUGGAAAUGUCAUGGAGAAGGAUGGCAGACAUAGAGAGAGAGAGAGAGAGAGAGAGAGAGAGAGAGAGAGAGAGAGAGGAAAACUGACCCCGAGUUCAGCUAAGAAAUGACUAAAGCAGCAGGAAAUUCAGUUUACGGCAUAUAAUCCAUUCACAAUUCUAGAUCUACAGUCAAGCGGCUGUAUCUGCAGAGUGGCUGAGGAGGAGCGAUGGGAGUGCGAGGAAAACCUCCACAAUAUGUGGGAGGGAAGAAUCUGCUUCCCCCUUCAUUUGAAUGAAUGAAUGUUGUGCUGCCUUUUGUUUAGUUUAGUUGGACCAGCAAGGUUUUUGACCUAGAGCACCCCCUGGUGGAUAUUUUUGUUAUGUUGCCUUUGUGAUGCUAAAAGAAAACAUAGAUCCAAGAUGGUGGAACGCAGCACCAAACAGCUCGUGGAGUAGCUGACUAUUGUCUUUAUUCGUUGUGUUUCCGACAAGAUUUGUUCUUUACGAUGGCCAAAGUGAUGGUAGUGGUUAGAGGCCACUCUUCAAUAAACAA